GACAGAGGUGCCGAGCGUUAGGCGGAAUCACUGGGCUUAAAGCGUGUGUAGGCGGUCGAUCACGUACCUUGUUAAAUCCCACGGCUCAACCGUGGAACCGCUGGGUAUACUGGUUGUCUUGAGCCGGCUAGGGGCGAGCGGAACAGACGGUGGAGCGGUGAAAUGCGUAGAUAUUGUCUGGAACGCCGAAGGUGAAAACAGCUCGCUGGGGCCGCGCUGACGCUGAGACACGAAAGCCAGGGGAGCGAACGGG
rnacentral:rRNA from 1 species